rnacentral:sRNA from 1 species
UCCAUCUUCCUCACAGGCGGCUCAGAGC